rnacentral:rRNA from 1 species
AGUUCGGAUUGUAGUCUGCAACUCGACUACAUGAAGCUGGAAUCGCUAGUAAUCGCGGAUCAGAAUGCCGCGGUGAAUACGUUCCCGGGUCUUGUACACACCGCCCGUCACACCAUGGGAGCCGGGAAUGCCCGAAGUCGGUGACCCAACCGUAAGGAGGGAGCCGCCGAAGGCAGGCCUGGUAACUGGGGUGAAGUCGUAACAAGGUACC